rnacentral:lncRNA from 1 species
AUGUUACUGAGCAGCCAUUAUAUGUUGUCUUCACUCUGUAGGUUGAUCCUGAAGAUGAUGUUUCCUACACCUCCAUUAGCUAGAAGACCCACUGUAAAGCCCAGGUGCUGGGUGGUGGUGAAGCAGUGACCUCCAACACUGUGAAAGCAUCCUCCUCUUCUGCUUGAGCCUCUGCUGAUCACAGCAACCUUUAUGCUACCAUCAACUAACCAAAAUCUAACAUUAUAUAGUUACAUUUAAUAUCACUGCAUUAAUUUUAUAGUUAUACUUCAUUACUAAAAGCUUUCUGCUGUGAAGACAAAGUUGUUUUUGUAAGAAUGGGUUGAAUUUUUUCAUUGCUUUAGUGGUAUUGUAUUGUGAAUAAAAUGUCUAUGUAAUCCAAAUGUUGGACAAUAUUUAAUCCUCAUUCUUUAACUCACUGUUAUUUUCUAGUAUUAUAAUCUUGCAGUUUGUUUUUAACAUGUGUUCAUCCUUCUUUCCUGUACAGCUGUAAAGCGCUUUUUGUCCAGAAGGGGGAGAUGUAAGCUAAGUUAUUACCACUAUGUAAAUGCGUUUGCCCAAGUUGAUUGCCAUAUAAAUAUGAUACUUUUGCUCAAUGAACUUGCUGUCAGGCACCUUAUUGUGCUAUGAUGUAUGUACUGUUGCGUGGUAGGAUUAAUGAUUCGGACAGGAUAAAGAAUUACAAUAUGUAUUUACAGAUAUAUAUAUACUGUAGUGAUUGGACACUAUGUGAAAGUUAUAGAAAAAAUUGAAAAUGCUAAAAGCUCUUCACACACAGUCUUACACACAGGUAGCAUGUAGGAUGUUAAAACUGCACAUCAAGAUGGAUCACAAAACCUUGUAAUAUAUAAACAUAUAUACAUACAUAUAAAUGUCCUCCUUAAAAGGCAUUAGACUAUUGUGGUGAAAAUAUCUCCAGGUCUCUUAAAAACUGGAUAUGGAAAUUAGGAAGUAGGGGUUUUUCAUAUUUUGGGAAUUUCUUUAAAACUCAGCUGCAUAUUCACAUAGCCAUAACACAGUGGUGUUUAGUGGCCAUUUGAAAAGGAUCUUUAGAGGACGUGCUGGGGACAUUUUUUGGGGGGGUUUUCUGGGUAUAUUUACUACACAAUAAAACAUAGACAGAUGCUGU